rfam:Jatropha curcas cultivar GZQX0401 scaffold1149_22, whole genome shotgun sequence.
UGAUCAACGGGAUAUUGGUCCGGUUCAAUAAGAAAACCGUGCUUGAAAUGUUUUGGGCCCUGCUUUUUGAUUGAGCCGUGCCAAUAUCACGUGCCACUAC